CUCUUCCAGACACCACACCUUUAACUUCACUCCUAGAAGGUUUAUGGCACCAUGAUGGCCUCCAAACUCGCCCUGUUCUUAGUGCUGGUCAUAACCACCUCCGUUGCGUCUCCUGCUAGAGCAGCAACAGCAGUGGUCGUCUCAUCGUCAAGCGGCGGCGGCGGAGGAGGAGG
rnacentral:lncRNA from 1 species